rnacentral:rRNA from 1 species
AUACGGAGGGUGCAAGCGUUGUUCGGAAUCACUGGGCGUAAAGCGCGUGUAGGCGGUCUGUUAAGUCUGAUGUGAAAGCCCGGGGCUCACCCCCGGAAGUGCAUUGGAAACUGACAGACUGGAGUCCCGGAGAGGAGGGUGGAAUUCCUGGUGUAGCGGUGAAAUGCGUAGAUAUCAGGAGGAACACCGGUGGCGAAGGCGGCCCUCUGGACGGUGACUGACGCUGAGACGACGAAAGCGGUGGGGAGAC